AAUUUUGGACAAUGGGGGAAACCCUGAUCCAGCCAUCCCGCGUGUGCGAUGAAGGCCUUCGGGUUGUAAAGCCCUUUUGGCGGGGAAGAAAGGGCGCCGGAUAAUACCUGGCGCCGCUGACGGUACCUGCAGAAUAAGCACCGGCUAACUACCUGCCAGCAGCCGCGGUAAUACGUAGGGUGCAAGCGUUAAUCGGAAUUAUCUGGCGUAAAGGGUGCGCAGGCGGUUCGGAAAGAAAGAUGUGAAAUCCCAGGGCUUAACCUUGGAACUGCAUUUUUAACUGCCGGGCUAGAGUAUGUCAGAGGGGGGUAGAAUUCCACGUGUAGCAGUGAAAUGCGUAGAGAUGUGGAGGAAUACCGAUGGCGAAGGCAGCCCCCUGGGAUAAUACUGACGCUCAUGCACGAAAGCGUGGGGAGCAAACAGG
rnacentral:rRNA from 1 species